rnacentral:tRNA from 1 species
GUGGCUCCAUGGUAGAGCAUCUGCUAGGUAUGCAGAAGGUCCCAGGUUCAAUCCCCAUCAUCUCCA